rnacentral:rRNA from 1 species
GGAGGGGGCUAGCGUUGUCCGAAGUUACUGGGCGUAAAGCGCGCGUAGGCGGGUUGGUAAGUCCGCUGUGAAAGCCCGGAGCUUAACUCCGGAGGGUCGGUGGAUACUGCCAGUCUUGAAGGUGCUAGGGGGAGAUGGAAUUACCGGUGUAGCGGUGAAAUGCGUAGAUAUCGGUAGGAACACCAGUGGCGAAGGCGGUCUCCUGGGGCAUUCUUGACGCUGAGGCGCGAAAGCUGGGGGAGCAAACGGG